rnacentral:lncRNA from 1 species
CUCCAGGUGACCACCUUUUCCCCCAAGCUCUCUGAUUCUUUUGAUUCACAGAAGUAAGGUCGACUCCCAGGCCUCUCCAGAUCUCUAAGCUUCCAGGUUUGCAUUUGUCAUUUUCACAAGACAAAACUCAUGCUCUUAGAUGGGCCUUAGGCACCUGGGACUCAGAGCAUUUCUUAAAUAAUAGGCCAAUUUGCUGAAAUGUGUGCUGCCCCACAUGGAGCCCCAGGCAGGGAGAAGCAGUAAAGGAAUUUGUCACAGCUGAGACACCAAGGUGACAGUGUAGAAAGAAAUAGUAUAAUGACUACUCUGCUCUCUGGGUAGCAGCUAUACCAAGCCUUAAGCCAAACAAAUUCAGUGAAUGACAAACAACUGUCUGAAUUGUGGUAUGUUAUGGGCGGCUCGAUGGGGUCCCACAGGGACCUCGGAGAAUAUUGAAAUGUGCACUCCCACGUUCUCUUGUUAUUCUAACUUUCCUGUUUGUUGGUCUCUGGGCAAUACACAAGCCUUGAGGGAGACUUCCCAGCUGUCCUGCUAUGAUUUGUUAAACUGACCCAGAGAACUGAGUGAAACCACUGACCUGUAACUGUGCAUUUAUAUAUCCUUUUUGCAAUAAGAAGUGACGCAUUGUUCCUUUGUGAUCUGUUACAUCUGAGAGGUGAAAGAGAGGGGCCAGCUUGGUUGCAAUGAGGUGAGAGUGAAAGAGAAUCCUGGCCCUGAUUUAAUUCCACCAUUCUGCUAUUCUGCCCCUUCACUUCCUAACGGCUGUAUCAGCAGCCUCUCCUAGAGGAGGUGAUAAGACAUUUGGGGGAAAACAGCUCCAAUGUCAUCUCUGAGUGUUCAUCUGUGAGAUCCAGGAAAGAGACUCUUGUAUGUUCAUAGGCAUCAGUGUUUAGGAAGACUGCAGCUAAUUUCCCCACCUAUAAGAAAGGGUCACAUGGCCUCUCCACAUAUCCCUUUCUCUGGCUCUGUUACUUGGUUGUUUGAAUAGCACACAUGCCUACUUUGUUCCCUCUGUCCCUUUGGAUUCAGAGCACACAGGGUGUCUGAUUCUGAGUUGUUGUUUUAAUCUUGAGCUAAGUCUAUAGAAUCCAUCUAUUAUUUUUUUAAAAGCCUUAAUCAUGUAUAAUAUGUUAGAUGCGUGUUAAUACAGACCUCAGAUGAUCCAAAGCUCUAUAUGAGCAGUGAUAUUGGAGGGAGAGGGGGAGAGGAGGAGGAAAACAAGUAUUUCUAACAACUAUCAGGCUGUUCUGGUCCCAAGAAGGCAGAGUCAGUUAUCAACCCUC